AACCAGCUCUUCAAGUGGUCGGGAUGGUUAUUGGGCUUAAAGUGUCCGUAGCCGGUUUAGUAAGUUCCUGGUAAAAUCAGGUAGCUUAACUAUCUGUAUGCUAGGAAUACUGCUAUACUAGAGGGCGGGAGAGGUCUGAGGUACUACAGGGGUAGGGGUGAAAUCUUAUAAUCCUUGUAGGACCACCAGUGGCGAAGGCGUCAGACUGGAAGGUGCCUGACGGUGAGGGACGAAAGCCAGGGGAGCGAACCGGAUUAGAUACCCGGGUAGUCCUGGCCGUAAACGAUGCAUACUAGGUGAUGGCCCGGCCAUGAGCCGUGUCAGUGCCGUAGGGAACCGUUAAGUGUGCCGCCUGGGAAGUACGGUCGCAAGGCUAAAACUUAAAGGAAUUGGCGGGGGAGCACCACAAGGGGUGAAGCCUGCGGUUC
rnacentral:rRNA from 1 species